GAUUCCAUACAAUCACCGAAGUUAAACAGCGUUGAGACUGGUCAGUACCUAGAUGGGUGACCGCUUGGGAAUACCAGGUACUGUAAG